UUCAUCCGAUUUGGACAAGUUGAAUAUUUCACCUGAUCUGUUUUUGUGGGGCUUUAAGGUGUGCAGCAUAAGAAGACUUCAUCACGUUCCUAGUCCUACAAUUUUAGAACUACAAACUUUCUGGAUUUUCUUGCCUUGACUUGUGAAUAACAAUUCAUAUUAUCUUUCUUCCUGCUCACGCAGGCACAGCAAACGUACAACGGAGAACACGUUGUGAGUAUCAGGAGAAAUGCCGCAGGUUCAAGUCAUCACUUAAGCUAGCAGAAAUUUUCUUUGACCCAAGAUACGACAGAUGUUUCUGCACGGAGUGCCACGCAGCCCGAGGGGACAAUCUUUACUACAAUCGAGGAAAACCUGCAAAGGACUACGGGAUUCCAAUAGGAUGGUGUCGGUUUGGGCUCAAGGUUCAGCCUCGAGCUAACGCUCUGGACGUGUUUAACAAAUGGCAUGUGGCAUUCCACGGCACAAGAGUAGACAGUGUUAACGCGAUCUUGGAAUGCGGUGAUCUUCUUAUGCCAGGUGAUGUCGCGCUCGGAGGAAAAAAGUUAAGCGAGGUAGAUGGACAUUUUAAUGAUAGCAGAAAGCCAAAAGGAUUUGACACAAAACAGA